rnacentral:rRNA from 1 species
CACGUAGUUAGCCGUGACUUUCUAAGUAAUUACCGUCAAAUAAAGGCCAGUUACUACCUCUAUCUUUCUUCACUACCAACAGAGCUUUACGAGCCGAAACCCUUCUUCACUCACGCGGCGUUGCUCCCAUCAGACUUUCGUCCAUUGUGGAAGAUUCCCUACUGCUGCCUCCCGUAGGAGUUUGGGCCGUGUCUCAGUCCCAAUGUGGCCGAUCAGUCUCUCAACUCGGCUAUGCAUCAUUGCCUUGGUAAGCUGUUACCUUACCAACUAGCUAAUGCACCGCAGGUCCAUCCAAGAGUGAUAGCAGAACCAUCUUUCAAACUCUAGACAUGCGUCUAGUGUUGUUAUCCGGUAUUAGCAUCUUGUUUCCAGGUUGUUACUCCCUAGUCCUUCGUUGGGCCGUACGGUUACCCUACGGUUCGUUACCUCCGACCCCGUCCGCCCGUCCUCGUCUUGUACUUCUUAGUUUUCUAUUUAGUGACUAGCUAACUAAAAUCAUCGUAGACAAGCUCGCUCGACUG